CCACAGACACUUCCUAAUUGUCGAAUGUCGGCUGGAUGGUCGUCGUUCGUAUGAACGAAUACGUGGAGGCGGCCAUCUUGGACAUACGAAUGCCCAGCGGUGUUCGUCGACAAUAUUGUGGAACUAAAAACGGCUACUAUAUUCACACGAACACCGCCCUUCAUUUGUUUCCCGUUCAUACGAACACCAUCUGUGUUUUUUUAUAUGAACAUAGCCAACUCAGAUAGCUAUCCCAUGGAGCCCAUUCGUAUAAUGAAAGGACUAAGUGAAAGAUUUUGGCUCCAUGGCGAUUGAACUGUACGCAUCCAAUCUGAG